rnacentral:rRNA from 1 species
CCCUACGGGAGGCAGCAGUAGGGAAUCUUCCACAAUGGGCGAAAGCCUGAUGGAGCAACGCCGCGUGGGUGAAGAAGGUCUUCGGAUCGUAAAACCCUGUUGUUAGAGAAGAAAGUGCGUGAGAGUAACUGUUCACGUUUCGACGGUAUCUAACCAGAAAGCCACGGCUAACUACGUGCCAGCAGCCGCGGUAAUACGUAGGUGGCAAGCGUUAUCCGGAUUUAUUGGGCGUAAAGAGAACGCAGGCGGACUUUUAAGUCUGAUGUGAAAGCCUUCGGCUUAACCGGAGUAGUGCUUUGGAAAUU